CUGCGGACUUAGAUAAACUGGGCCUUGGUGGAGAAAUCCGCGAAGUGUAAGCUCUCAAAUUCAGGGAAACCUAAGGCCAAGGGCUAGGGCAAUCCUGAGCCAAGCUGAGGGAUCAACCACCCCUAGGGGCGUUGACCUUCGGAAGGUGCAGAGACUCGACGGGAGCUACCCUAACAGGCCGUCUGCCAAGGCAGGCGAUCGCUGAGGGUAAAGGGAGAGUCCAAUUCUCAAAACCUCUGGCAC
rnacentral:ncRNA from 1 species